rnacentral:ncRNA from 1 species
GACGGGUAAGCGCAGGAUAUGUAGAGGCCGCUCCCUGCGAGUGGCAGCCCAUAUGGGUGGGAUCCUCGGUUCCUGGGACCCUUCAGUUU